rnacentral:rRNA from 1 species
UACAGAGGUCUCAAGCGUUGUUCGGAUUCAUUGGGCGUAAAGGGUGCGUAGGCGGCGCGGUAAGUCGGGUGUGAAAUCUUGGAGCUUAACUCCGAAACUGCAUUCGAUACUGCCGUGCUUGAGGACUGGAGAGGAGACUGGAAUUUACGGUGUAGCGGUGAAAAUGCGUAGAUAUCGUAAGGAAGACCAGUGGCGAAGGCGGGGUCUCUGGACA